rnacentral:rRNA from 1 species
GAAUCUACUUUUUCGUGGGGGAUAACGUAGGGAAACUUACGCUAAUACCGCAUACGACCUACGGGUGAAAGCAGGGGAUCUUCGGACCUUGCGCGAUUGAAUGAGCCGAUGUCGGAUUAGCUAGUUGGCGGGGUAAAGGCCCACCAAGGCGACGAUCCGUAGCUGGUCUGAGAGGAUGAUCAGCCACACUGGAACUGAGACACGGUCCAGACUCCUACGGGAGGCAGCAGUGGGGAAUAUUGGACAAUGGGCGCAAGCCUGAUCCAGCCAUACCGCGUGGGUGAAGAAGGCCUUCGGGUUGUAAAGCCCUUUUGUUGGGAAAGAAAUCCAGCCGGCUAAUACCUGGUUGGGAUGACGGUACCCAAAGAAUAAGCACCGGCUAACUUCGUGCCAGCAGCCGCGGUAAUACGAAGGGUGCAAGCGUUACUCGGAAUUACUGGGCGUAAAGCGUGCGUAGGUGGUUGUUUAAGUCUGUUGUGAAAGCCCUGGGCUCAACCUGGGAACUGCAGUGGAAACUGGACAACUAGAG